UGGGGAAUAUUGCGCAAUGGGGGCAACCCUGACGCAGCAACGCCGCGUGAUUGAAGAAGGCCUUCGGGUUGUAAAGAUCUUUAAUUGGGGACGAAAGAAAUGACGGUACCCAAAGAAUAAGCUCCGGCUAACUACGUGCCAGCAGCCGCGGUAAUACGUAGGGAGCAAGCGUUAUCCGGAUUUACUGGGUGUAAAGGGCGAGUAGGCGGGCUGGCAAGUUGGGAGUGAAAUCCCGGGGCUUAACCCCGGAACUGCUUUCAAAACUGCUGGUCUUGAGUGAUGGAGAGGCAGGCGGAAUUCCGUGUGUAGCGGUGAAAUGCGUAGAUAUACGGAGGAACACCAGUGGCGAAGGCGGUCUGCUGGACAUUAACUGACGCUGAGGAGCGAAAGCGUGGGGAGCAAACAGG
rnacentral:rRNA from 1 species